rnacentral:rRNA from 1 species
AUUGAACGCUGGCGGCAGGCCUAACACAUGCAAGUCGAACGAGUGGCGGACGGGUGAGUCAUGUAUGGGAAACUGCCUGGUGGAGGGGGUUCACUACUGGAAACGGUUGCUAAUACCGCCUACAUUCGGCUGUGCCCAGUUGGGUUUAGCUAGUCGGUGGGGUAAAGGCUCACCUAGGCGACGAUCCCUAGCUGGUCUGAGAGGAGGAACAGCCACACUGGAACUGAGACACGGCCCAGACUCCUACGGGAGGCAGCAGUGGGGAAGAUUGCACAAUGGGCGAAAGCCUGAUGCAGCCAUGCCGCGUGUAUGAAGAAGGCCUUCGGGUUGUAAAGUACUUUCAGCGGGGAGGCGUUACCCGCAGAAGAAGCACCGGCUAACUCCGUGCCAGCAGCCGCGGUAAUAC